rnacentral:rRNA from 1 species
ACUGAACGCUGGCGGCAGGCCUAACACAUGCAAGUCGAACGGUAACAGGAAACAGCUUGCUGUUUCGCUGACGAGUGGCGGACGGGUGAGUAAUGUCUGGGAAACUGCCUGAUGGAGGGGGAUAACUACUGGAAACGGUAGCUAAUACCGCAUAACGUCGCAAGACCAAAGAGGGGGACCUUCGGGCCUCUUGCCAUCGGAUGUGCCCAGAUGGGAUUAGCUUGUUGGUGGGGUAACGGCUCACCAAGGCGACGAUCCCUAGCUGGUCUGAGAGGAUGACCAGCCACACUGGAACUGAGACACGGUCCAGACUCCUACGGGAGGCAGCAGUGGGGAAUAUUGCACAAUGGGCGCAAGCCUGAUGCAGCCAUGCCGCGUGUAUGAAGAAGGCCUUCGGGUUGUAAAGUACUUUCAGCGGGGAGGAAGGCAUUAAGGUUAAUAACCUUAGUGAUUGACGUUACCCGCAGAAGAAGCACCGGCUAACUCCGUGCCAGCAGCCGCCGUAA